AUUGAACGCUGGCGGCAGGCCUAACACAUGCAAGUCGAGCGGAUGAGGGGUGCUUGCAUCCCGAUUCAGCGGCGGACGGGUGAGUAAUGCCUAGGAAUCUGCCCGAUAGUGGGGGGCAACGUUUCGAAAGGAACGCUAAUACCGCAUACGUCCUACGGGAGAAAGGGGGGGCUCUUCGGACCUCACGCUAUCGGAUGAGCCUAGGUCGGAUUAGCUAGUUGGUGGGGUAAAGGCUCACCAAGGCGACGAUCCGUAACUGGUCUGAGAGGAUGAUCAGUCACACUGGAACUGAGACACGGUCCAGACUCCUACGGGAGGCAGCAGUGGGGAAUAUUGGACAAUGGGCGAAAGCCUGAUCCAGCCAUGCCGCGUGUGUGAAGAAGGUCUUCGGAUUGUAAAGCACUUUAAGUCGGGAGGAAGGGUUGUAGGUUAAUACCUUGCAGCCUUGACGUUACCGACAGAAUAAGCACCGGCUAACUUCGUGCCAGCCGCCGCGGUAAGAC
rnacentral:rRNA from 1 species